rfam:Elusimicrobia bacterium RIFOXYA2_FTLL_58_8 rifoxya2_full_scaffold_5235, whole genome shotgun sequence.
GGCACCGUAGCUCAGUUGGUAAGAGCGGGCGUUUCAUAAGCGCUAGGUCAGAGGUUCGAAUCCUCUCGGUGCCA